UACGUAGGGUGCGAGCGUUAAUCGGAAUUACUGGGCGUAAAGCGUGCGCAGGCGGUUUGUUAAGACAGUUGUGAAAUCCCCGGGCUCAACCUGGGAACUGCAAUUGUGACUGGCAGGCUAGAGUUUGGCAGAGGGGGGUGGAAUUCCUGGUGUAGCAGUGAAAUGCGUAGAUAUCAGGAGGAACACCGAUGGCGAAGGCAGCCCCCUGGGCCAUGACUGACGCUCAUGCACGAAAGCGUGGGGAGCAAACAGG
rnacentral:rRNA from 1 species